CACAUCAUUGAUGACAGUUAACGAAGUUAAUGAGUGCCACUGUAGACAUCGAAAUUUUGGUAAAUAAAUGUUGACUGAUAAAUCAAAGUUUCAACGCUCAUGUAUUACAUAAAUUUUACACGUAGCGUGUGACUCGACAAAAAAUUGAAAUGAGUCGGAAAAGUCAUCAAACAGGACACGUGUCAACACCUGGCAAAAACGAUUUAUUUCAUCUGAAUAAUAUAUUCAAAAUUAGGCUUUGGAAAAUUCUAUAAAUAGAAGCCAUUUCAUUCAUUUUAGGGGGAACCAAUUCAUAACCAA
rnacentral:lncRNA from 1 species